GAAGGGGCCUGUGUCAGGGCUCCAAGCGGGCUCCCGGCUCUGCCACACAACCCAGCAGAGGCGGGCCAGGGACUGCACCUCAUUCUGAACAGAAAGAAACUGGCCAGUAAAUGGAAAGUCCCAUAUCCUUGGGAGAAAAACAAUGUCAUUUUAUUGGUAGAAGGAAGCGAGGGAGGGAAGACAAAUUCAAAUUUGUAAGUGUAGGACCAACAUAAGUCAAAGAAUUAACAUCUAGGACUAGAAAAGGGAUUAUAAGAAAAUUUCCCUAAACAGAGUCAAUAAUUUUGUUUUCUGACCUUAACGAAUCAAACCCUACAGUAAGAGAAGAACAUUUAAAUACGUAUCAAUGUUGUCUGUCACUCAUGAAAAAUCACCAAGACUCAACAUAGCAGAGCAAGUCAUUUCUAUAGACAAGACAUAAACAUGAGCUGCUGCAAACAUCGCUCUGAGGGUUUGCAUUCGAUGGAAUGACUGGGCCAAAGGAAGCUGGACUGCAUAUUGGGCUCCUAGUGGGCUCUGCCCUGACCUCGCGGUUCAUGAUUCUACGUGAUGAUAAUCCAGUUAAUGACCUGAAUAACGACCUCCAAAGACAUGUUACCUACAAAUCUGAUUAGCAUACAGCAUGGAUGACAGAACAGAAAUUAAAAUAACUGAAAGGCUUUGGGUCAAAUUGAACUAGAUGCUAAAAUAAAAAUAAACUUAAAGUCUGCUGACUGGAAUUCAAAUAUGCAAUAACCUCAGUACAGGAAUAGGGAAACAGUACUUAGCUCAGAAGAAGAGCAAAGUUAAAGCAAUUCUUGGUAAAAUUAUUCGAGCGCUGACAUAUCUGUUUCUUUAUUAAUAAAAAAAAAAGACUUCUAUGGGAGGAUAUCUAAGGUCCAUUCCUUCCCAAAACCCUAUGAAGAAUGUAAUGAUUAUUAUUUUUCUUAAAGUCCUAUGUUCUAUAAUUGGUUCUUCUGUUUGGAUUAUUUAUUUCUUAAAAUGAAAAUGAAAACUUGGGCUUUAUGCAGUAGAACAGUCUUUUUUUUUUUUUUUUUUUUUUUUAAAUCCACAUUUUAGCUAUAAUUUUGAGUACUUACUAUUUAUAACACCCUGUACUGGGUCUUUUAUAGAAAUUGUAUUUAAUCUUCACAACAUGAAUGCCUUCAUUUUUUUUUCAAAUAUUUACCAACUGCCUAUUAUGGGCCAGGCAGUGAGGACAAAUCAGGGAAUGUCACUCUUUAAAGUAGGUUUAUUACUCCCUUUUAGGUAAACAAACUGCAGCUUGGAGAGAUUGAGAAAUCUGCCUAAAGCACCACAGCCAGGAAGACAUGCAGCUAAAAUCAAAUUCGAGUCGUGUCACAGCUUUUAUACCAGAACUACAAACUGCCCUGAUCAUGAACCAAGGUCACUAACUGCUGGCUUUAGGUUGCCCACAAGGGGGCAGCCACUCUUCUGGACUGAGGCUCAAUGGGCUAGAUUACAAAACCCUUAGAUUGAAAAAUUAACAUUUAAGCCCUAGCCGUUAGGUUCCAGUUAAAGGCAUGUACCUUGGUUGCAGGCUCCUCCCUGGGCCUGGGCCCCGGUCAGGGUGCAUGCAGGAGGCAACCAAUCAAUGUGUUUCUCUUACAUCGACAUUUCUGUCUUUCAUUCUCUCUAAAAAAAAAAAUCAAUGGAAAAAUAUCCCCGGGUGAGGAUUAACAAAAAAGAAAAAGAAACGAAAAAUUAACGCCUAGGAGGCAAAAGUCAGCAGGACCCCAAGCACCUGCAGCUGACACCUGUGGGAGCAGCUGUGGGGGAGGAAGUACAGCCAGAACCAUGUCCGUCAAGGUGGAGAUUCAAGGCAGAGCCAGCCUCUGGGGUAAGGAGCCCCAGCCACUGGACAGCUGGCACGAUGACAUUGGGGUUGAACCUCACAAGUCGGGGGUGGGGGGGGGUCCUCCCACACCUGGGACACCAACAAUCAAGUCCCAGUUACAACAGGGGAGCCCAAACAAAGCACACAAGGGGCAUUCCUAGAGCAUCCAGCUCAGGGGAACAAAGAGACUGCACCACUGGACCCCUCAAGACACUUUCUACAUGAGGCCAUCCCACUAAGACGGGGAGGGAUAGCAUCCUAUCUGAUACACAGAAGCAAAUACAGAGACAUAAAAUGGGGAGACAAAGAAACAGCUCCUAAAUGAGAGAAAAGAAGGACUCUCCAGAAAAGAACUAAGUGAGGUGGAGGCAAGCAACCUAUCAGACAUAGAGUUCAAAGCAAUGAUCAUAAAGGUGCUUAAGGAACUUAGUGCAAAUUACAACACAUGAGAAGGGAAACAGAGGCCAUUAACAGGGAUCAGACAGAAAAGCUAAAUGAUAUAUCUGACAUGAAGAACACACUGGAAGGACUUAAAAGUAGAACUGGAUGAAGCAGAGGACCGAAUCAGUGAUUUUAAAGAUAAGACAGGAUAGAAAUAAAUACCCAAUUAGAGCAGCAAAUAGAAAAAAGAAUUAAAAAGCAGGAAGAUAGCUUAAGAGAGCUCUGGGACAACAUGGAAUGUAACAACAACACUCGCAUUACAGGAAUAUCAGAAGGGAAAGAAGGUGAGCAAGGAACAGAUAACCCGUUUAAAGAAAUAGUGACAGAAAACUUGCCCAACUGUCACACACAUUCAGGAGGCACAGAGUGUCCCAAUCAAGAUGAACCCAAAGAGGCCCACACCUAGACAACAUCGUAAUUAAAAUGGCAAGUGUUAAAAAAAAUGAAAGAAACUUAAAGGCAGCAAGAGAGAAAGGCAGAAAAUCACCUACAAAGGAAUUCCCAUUAGAAUGACAGCUGACUUCUCAAUGGAAACACUCCAGGCCAGAAGGGAGUGGCAUGAAGUACUCCAAGUAAUGAAAAGCAAGGGCCUAAAUCCAAGAGUACUGUAUCCAGUGAGGCUAUCAUUUAAAACUGAAGGCAAAAUAAAAAGCUUUCCAGACAAAAAAGGUUAAAGGAGUACAUUACCACCAAACCAGCAAUGCAAAAAACGUUAAAGGGACUGCUUUAAGAAGAAGAAAAGGAGAGAGAGGAUCAUAGGCAUAAAGAAAACAAAAAUGGCAAUAAAUACCUAUCAAUAAUAAACUUACAUGUAAAUGGAUUAAAUGCUCUGAUCAAAAGUCAUAGGAUGACUGAAUGGAUAAGAAAACAUGACCCAUAUACAUGCUGUCUAUGAUACCCAUUUCAGAACAAAAGAUAUACAGAGACAAAAUGAAGGGAUGGAAAAAUAUAUUCCAAGCAAAUGGAAAGAAAAAUAAAGCUGGAGUAGCAGCAAUACUCUUAUCAGACCAAACAGACUUCAAAACAAAGGCCAUAACAAGAGACAAAGAAGGUCACUAUAUAAUACUAAAGGGAAUGAUUCAACAAGAAAAUAGAACCCUUGUAUACAUACAUGCACCCAACACAGGAGCACCAAAGGACAUUAAAGAACUCUUGAUGGACCUUAAGGGAGAGACUGACAGCAAUAGUCAUAGUAGGGGACUUUAAUACACCAUUGACUUCACUGGAUAGAUCUUUCAGACAAAAAAGUAACAAGGAAACAGAGACCUUAAAUGACACACUAGGUCAGAUGGCUCUAACUGACAUUUACAGAACAUUUCACCCCAAAACAACAGAAUAUACAUUCUUCUCAAGUGCACAUGGAACAUUCUCAAAGACAGACCACGUUAGGGCACAAAACAAGUUUAUACAAAUUCAAGAAGACUGAUAUAAAACCAAGCAUCUUCUCAGAUCACAAUGGCAUGAAGUUAGAAAUCAAGUACAAUAAAAAAAAUUCAAAAACACUCAAAUACAUGGAGGCUAACUAGCAUGUUAUUAAGCAAUUAAUGGGUUACCAAUGAGAUCAAGCAAGAAAUUAAAAACUUCCUGGACAAAAAUGAAAAUAAACACACAACCACCCCAAACCUAUGGGACACCGUGAAAGCAGUCCUGAGAGGGAAGUUCAUAGCACUGGCAUCCCUCUAGAAACAAGAAAAAGGACUAAUAAACUAUCUAACCCUAAAACUAAAUGAAUUAGAAAGACAACAGCAAGAAAAGCCAAGAGGAAGUAGAAGGAAGGAAAUAAUAAAGAUUAGAGCAGAAAUAAAUAACACAGACACAAAACAAACAAA